UGUUUUAACUAUUAGGCAUAGCAACAAGACUCUGAUUGGUCGAAAUCGCUGCGGCCGUUACUGAAUUUUCAAAUAGAACAGAGAGCGGGAAGCAGACUACUUUUACCCUUUUAUCAACAGAAAAGCUCUUUGAGAAUGGAUUGUAAGUGUUAAUCUUGAAGACGACGAGAUUUAAAGCCAUGGCAACACAAGAAUUGACGGGCCGAAGUCGCAGCAGCCGUUAACGGAAUUUUCAAACAUCGGAGAGCGGGAAGCAGUCUAGCGCCAGCACAUCCAGGACUUCAACUUCUUUAUCGUUAGAGGAACUUCACAAGCUAAAGAGAGGCUUGACUCGAAUUAUCAGACGAAGAGAGGAGGAAAUUCAAAGAUCACGAAGAUGAUGGAGAAACUGUCAGUGCUGGUCUCAGGGAUAGCACAGCUUUUUUGAGCUUUUCUUGUAAGUAGCAAGUUACAUUGAUCAUACUCGUACAACAAGUCUGUGUCCUCAGCUGUGAAG
rnacentral:lncRNA from 1 species